rnacentral:tRNA from 1 species
ACCUGUCGGGCUCAGUUGGUGAAGCACAUGAUUCUUGAUCUUGGGGUUGUGAGUUCAAGCCCCACAUCAGGUG